rnacentral:rRNA from 1 species
UACGUAGGGGGCAAGCGUUGUCCGGAUUUAUUGGGCGUAAAGAGCGUGUAGGCGGCCAGGUAGGUCUGCUGUGAAAACUCGAGGCUUAACCUCGAGAUGUCGGCGGAAACCAUCUGGCUAGAGUCCGGAAGAGGAGAAUGGAAUUCCCGGUGUAGCGGUGAAAUGCGCAGAUAUCAGGAAGAACACCCGUGGCUAAGGCGGCUCUCUAGUACGGUACUGACGCUGAGACGCGAAAGCGUGGGGAGCAAACAGG